rnacentral:rRNA from 1 species
AUUGAACGCUGGCGGCAGGCCUAACACAUGCAAGUCGAGCGGAUGAAGGGAGCUUGCUCCUGGAUUCAGCGGCGGACGGGUGAGUAAUGCCUAGGAAUCUGCCUGGUAGUGGGGGAUAACGUCCGGAAACGGGCGCUAAUACCGCAUACGUCCUGAGGGAGAAAGUGGGGGAUCUUCGGACCUCACGCUAUCAGAUGAGCCUAGGUCGGAUUAGCUAGUUGGUGGGGUAAAGGCCUACCAAGGCGACGAUCCGUAACUGGUCUGAGAGGAUGAUCAGUCACACUGGAACUGAGGCACGGUCCAGACUCCGACGGGAGGCAGCAGUGGGGAAUAUUGGACAAUGGGCGAAAGCCUGAUCCAGCCAUGCCGCGUGUGUGAAGAAGGUCUUCGGAUUGUAAAGCACUUUAAGUUGGGAGGAAGGGCAGUAAGUUAAUACCUUGCUGUUUUGACGUUACCAACAGAAUAAGCACCGGCUAACUUCGUG